UUCGGAUUGUAGUCUGCAACCCGACUACAUGAAGCUGGAAUCGCUAGUAAUCGCGGAUCAGAAUGCCGCGGUGAAUACGUUCCCGGGUCUUGUACGCACCGCCCGUCACACCAUGGGAGUCGGAAAUGCCCGAAGUCUGUGACCUAACCGCAAGGGAGGAGCAGCCGAAGGCAGGUCGGAUGACUGGGGUGAAGUCGUAACAAGGUACC
rnacentral:rRNA from 1 species